UAGAUACCUUACCAAGUAAAGUUAUUAAAACUAUUACACAAAAUAAGCAGCUUUGAGGUCUCUCUAUUAUAAUUAAUACAAUGCUUCUUCUUUUCUUAACUAUAGUAAAAAUACAUGGGUUUAAUCUUUAUUUCAUCAUAUAUUUCCCUGUUUCUUCCCUCCCACCCCUGCCCCAUCCCUAUCCUGAUUAUCACUAUAAUAACCCUUUUAGUCUCAUUUUCUUAUCUAACUCUUCCCUAUCUUUAUUUGGAGAGAGAGAGCCCUUUAGUGUUUUUCAUUGAACUACCAUCGUCAUCAAUUUUAUUGUACGCCCGUUUGACCCAUGCAUUCCUUCCUUAUUUAAUUGCUUUUUUUGUCGGACAUGGAAGGCGGGUGUAAUGGAAAACCCACUGCCACCUCAUUACAUAACAUACUAUUCAUCUCUCUGCCCCCCUCCUUGUUUCAUUCCAUUUACCUGGAUUAGAGACCCUCUAUGAUAAUUUUUUUUUUUUAAAGUCUAAUUUAUCUAUAUACGUAUCCCAAUAUUCUAUUUGCAUGUAGCGGUUUUCUAAGCUCACUAAGAUGCCUCUUUCCAUUUUUGCUUGCCAUAUUACUUGUGCUAUCACUUCUCGGGUGGAUGGGAUUUGUACAUUUUUCCAGUUCCAUGCUAUCACUAAUUUGGCUGCUGUAAUGAUGUGUAAAAUUAAC